rnacentral:rRNA from 1 species
GAUGAACGCUGGCGGCGUGCCUAAUACAUGCCAGUCGAGCGAACAGACGAGGAGCUUGCUCCUCUGACGUUAGCGGCGGACGGGUGAGUAACACGUGGAUAACCUACCUAUAAGACUGGGAUAACUUCGGGAAACCGGAGCUAAUACCGGAUAAUAUAUUGAACCGCAUGGUUCAAUAGUGAAAGACGGUUUUGCUGUCACUUAUAGAUGGAUCCGCGCCGCAUUAGCUAGUUGGUAAGGUAACGGCUUACCAAGGCAACGAUGCGUAGCCGACCUGAGAGGGUGAUCGGCCACACUGGAACUGAGACGCGGUCCAGACUCCUACGGGAGGCAGCAGUAGGGAAUCUUACGCAAUGGGCGAAAGCCUGACGGAGCAACGCCGCGUGAGUGAUGAAGGUCUUCGGAUCGUAAAACUCUGUUAUUAGGGAAGAACAAAUGUGUAAGUAACUAUGCACGUCUUGACGGUACCUAAUCAGAAAGCCACGGCUAACUACGUG